rnacentral:rRNA from 1 species
GACAUCCAGAGAAUUUGCUAGAGAUAGCUUAGUGCCUUCGGGAACUCUGAGACAGGUGCUGCAUGGCUGUCGUCAGCUCGUGUUGUGAAAUGUUGGGUUAAGUCCCGCAACGAGCGCAACCCUUAUCCUUUGUUGCCAGCGAGUAAUGUCGGGAACUCAAAGGAGACUGCCGGUGAUAAACCGGAGGAAGGUGGGGAUGACGUCAAGUCAUCAUGGCCCUUACGAGUAGGGCUACACACGUGCUACAAUGGCAUAUACAAAGAGAAGCGAACUCGCGAGAGCAAGCGGACCUCAUAAAGUAUGUCGUAGUCCGGAUUGGAGUCUGCAACUCGACUCCAUGAAGUCGGAAUCGCUAGUAAUCGUAGAUCAGAAUGCUACGGUGAAUACGUUCCCGGGCCUU